CCUACGGGAGGCAGCAGUAGGGAAUCUUUCGCAAUGGACGGAAGUCUGACGGAGCAACGCCGCGUGAGUGAUGAAGGCUUUCGGGUCAUAAAACUCUGUUGUUAGGGAAGAACAAGUGCUAGUUGAAUAAGCUGACACCUUGACGGUACCUAACCAGAAAGCCACGGCUAACUACGUGCCAGCAGCCGCGGUAAUACGUAGGUGGCAAGCGUUAUCCGGAAUUAUUGGGCGUAAAGCGCGCGCAGGUGGUUUCUUAAGUCUGGUGUGAAAGCCCACGGCUCAACCGUGGAGGGUCAUUGGAAACUGGGAGACUUGAGUGCAGAAGAGGAAAGUGGAAUUCCAUGUGUAGGGGUGAAAUGCGUAGAGAUAUGGAGGAACACCAGUGGCGAAGGCGACUUUCUGGUCUGUAACUGACACUGAGGCGCGAAAGCGUGGGGAGCAAACAGGAUUAGAUACCCGCGUAGUC
rnacentral:rRNA from 1 species